CGUAGGUGGCAAGCGUUGUCCGGAUUUACUGGGCGUAAAGAGCGCGCAGGCGGUUGAUUAAGUCGAAUGUGAAAGCCCCCGGCUCAACUGGGGAGGGUCAUUCGAUACUGAUCGACUUGAAGGCAGGAGAGAGAAGUGGAAUUCCCGGUGUAGUGGUGAAAUGCGUAGAUAUCGGGAGGAACACCAGUGGCGAAGGCGACUUCUUGGCCUGUUCUUGACGCUGAGGCGCGAAAGCUGGGGGAGCAAACGGGAUUAGAUACCCCGGUAGUCCCAGCCGUAAACGAUGGACACUAGGUGUUGGUGGUAUCAACCCCGCCAGUGCCGUAGCUAACGCAUUAAGUGUCCCGCCUGGGGAGUACGGCCGCAAGGCUA
rnacentral:rRNA from 1 species